UACGUAGGGUCCGAGCGUUGUCCGGAAUUACUGGGCGUAAAGAGCUCGUAGGUGGUUUGGUAAGUCAGGUGUGAAAACUCCAGGCUCAACUUGGAGACGCCACCUGAUACUGUCGUGACUAGAGUCCGGUAGGGGAGCAUGGAAUUCCUGGUGUAGCGGUGAAAUGCGCAGAUAUCAGGAGGAACACCAGCGGCGAAGGCGGUGCUCUGGGCCGGAACUGACGAUGAGGAGCGAAAGCGUGGGGAGCGAACAGG
rnacentral:rRNA from 1 species